AUGAGAUGGGCAGUUGAUGGGGGUCAAACGUCGAGAGGCUGUGGACAUCACCCUGAUACCCACCUUGGCCUCACUCCUCCUGGGCUUGGAGGACAUCUUGGGGAGGGUGAAGCCGUCCACCAGGACCGUGUCGCCCACCCUGGUCCUGAACGGAGCCCUGUUGAGGCCCAUGCAGUGCCUGGAUGCUGCCCUCCUCUGCCCCAGCCUCACCCAGCCCUUUAUCUGGAGGUAUGUCCGCAUGGGCAGGGCCAUACCUGGGAGGACCACCACAGAGCACAGCUUGGUGGCCAGGUGACUCACACACUCCCUGUGGCCGUACUGAAGGGCGAUCCUCAGGGGGUCACGACCCUGGGGAUCCUGACAGGCAAGGGUCAGAACGCUGCUGGCGAUACAGAGUUUGAGGAUGGUGAGCUGGCCGCGCUCGAUGGAGGCGACAGCGGGACACUUGGCGACGUCGGGGUGGGCCGUCUGGUGGCACCACUCACGGUAAGGGUGAACCCCCACCGGCUCANNNNNNNNNNCCUUGGCCUCACUCCUCCUGGGCUUGGAGGACAUCUUGGGGAGGGUGAAGCCGUCCACCAGGACCGUGUCGCCCACCCUGGUCCUGAACGGAGCCCUGUUGAGGCCCAUGCAGUGCCUGGAUGCUGCCCUCCUCUGCCCCAGCCUCACCCAGCCCUUUAUCUGGAGGUAUGUCCGCAUGGGCAGGGCCAUACCUGGGAGGACCACCACAGAGCACAGCUUGGUGGCCAGGUGACUCACACACUCCCUGUGGCCGUACUGAAGGGCGAUCCUCAGGGGGUCACGACCCUGGGGAUCCUGACAGGCAAGGGUCAGAACGCUGCUGGCGAUACAGAGUUUGAGGAUGGUGAGCUGGCCGCGCUCGAUGGAGGCGACAGCGGGACACUUGGCGACGUCGGGGUGGGCCGUCUGGUGGCACCACUCACGGUAAGGGUGAACCCCCACCGGCUCAGUGACACGCACCCCCCUCUCCAGCAGCCAGCCGGCCAGGUCCAGGUGGCCCAGAGAAGCAGCGAUGUAGAGUGCCACCCGGAGCUGGAACCUGGAAUAAUACAGAAUCAAUGUAUUUAUAACACGUUUCAAGUUUUUUUUGUCAAGUUCACAAGAUACAGUGGGUUAUAA
rnacentral:lncRNA from 13 species